rnacentral:rRNA from 1 species
AACGAACGCUGGCGGCAUGCCUAACACAUGCAAGUCGAACGAGACCUUCGGGUCUAGUGGCGCACGGGUGCGUAACGCGUGGGAAUCUACCCUCAGGUUCGGAAUAACUCAGAGAAAUUUGAGCUAUUACCGGAUGAUGACGUAAGUCCAAAGAUUUAUCGCCUGAGGAUGAGCCCGCUUAGGAUUAGGUAGUUGGUGAGGUAAAGGCUCACCAAGCCGACGAUCCUUAGCUGGUCUGAGAGGAUGAUCAGCCACACUGGGACUGAGACACGGCCCAGACUCCUACGGGAGGCAGCGGUGGGGAAUAUUGGACAAUGGGCGAAAGCCUGAUCCAGCAAUGCCGCGUGAGUGAUGAAGGCCUUAGGGUUGUAAAGCUCUUUUACCCGGGAUGAUAAUGACAGUACCGGGAGAAUAAGCUCCGGCUAACUCCGUG